CAGAUUCAAAUGCAGCUGAGCUUUUUACUAACUUCACUUUCUCUGAGCUUCAGUUUCAAGCUCUCAAGUGGAGAUGAUGAUGAUAAUACCCACCUCCUAGGGCAUUUUUAUGAAGAUUAAUGAAACUGUACAAGUAGAAGACUUUGCACACGGAGUAUGUGUUACCUGGAUAUCACCUGGCCACUUGUGACCCUAACAGAAGCAAUGAAUAAAUCUGGAAGCAAAAACAAACAGAGAAGCCAGAGAAGA
rnacentral:lncRNA from 1 species